CCACCACCCACGACCAGAGGAGUGAUGAUGUGUGGCAGGGUUCUGGGGAGUCCGAUCGACUUACUAAUAACAUUCGACUGCAAAAAAUUCAAGGAUGUAGACUCCGCCCAAAAUGCUUAAGAAAAAAAAGUCUACAGAGGUGAUCGCCAUCCAAGAGAAGCAGAAAAAGAGCAAGAAGGAAGGAAGGCAAGAGGUUGGUUACCAAUUGGACUCUUAGAGUAAAAAGAGUGGAAUCCUAACCCCAGACACUUAAUGGUCAUGUGAUCCUCUUGACAACUCGUGAUACCUCAGAGCCUUAGUUCUCUCCUCUGUAAAAUAGGAAUAAUCAUGCAACAAACUUGCGCAUGCUUAUCACAGGAUUGUGGAGAGGCCUCACUCCUAAACUUGUUCUUCACUCUCACUAUGGCUACCCAACCUUCCAUCUCUACUUGUUCACCAAAAUGAUGAUGAUGGUGGUGAUGGUAAUGGUGAUAAAUGACAUCUCAUCUGAAUACAACAGCAACCCCUUUGAGGCUCUCUGGACUUUCCUCUAAGCUGCCCUUGAGCCAAGAACUCCUUUCUUAUGGUCUCAAAGGUGAAUCCUCUACAAUGCCUUCACUCUCAGUCUUUACAUAUCUGAGGAAAAAGCCUUGAUCCUGCGAAGCAAUGGAAUUAGAGCAGAGAGAGUACUGGCUCUGCCAUCAAAUCCUUCAAAUACUGGUUCUGACCCAUCUACCUAAGUUACCAUAAAAGAGGGAACCCCUUUGCCUCUUAGGCAUUGUUAUGGGGUAGGACACAGGGUCUGAAGUAACUUUCUUGAGAACAUAGACAUGCCUUGAAGAGAUAAGCCUAUAAGGCAUGGCUGCUGUCCGAGUGGCACCAGGGAGAUAGAGAUGUCUGGGAACUGCCUCUCACCCAACUUCUCCAUGUCCCACACCAGUGGGGGAUGUUUCCCCAAUAAAGGAACUUUCCACAGUCGGAUGAUCACUUGCAUCUGUCCCUCCACCAUUCUCCUCUAUAAAAGCUAUGCCCCUUCUCCUAUUCAGGAA